GACGAACGCUGGCGGCGUGCUUAACACAUGCAAGUCGAACGGAAAGGCCCUGCUUUUGUGGGGUGUUCGAGUGGCGAACGGGUGAGUAACACGUGAGUAACCUGCCCUUGACUUUGGGAUAACUUCAGGAAACUGGGGCUAAUACCGGAUAGGAGCUCCUGCCGCAUGGUGGGGGUUGGAAAGUUUCGGCGGUUGGGGAUGGACUCGCGGCUUAUCAGCUUGUUGGUGGGGUAGUGGCUUACCAAGGCUUUGACGGGUAGCCGGCCUGAGAGGGUGACCGGCCACAUUGGGACUGAGAUACGGCCCAGACUCCUACGGGAGGCAGCAGUGGGGAAUAUUGCACAAUGGGCGGAAGCCUGAUGCAGCAACGCCGCGUGCGGGAUGACGGCCUUCGGGUUGUAAACCGCUUUCGCCUGUGACGAAGCGUGAGUGACGGUAAUGGGUAAAGAAGCACCGGCUAACUACGUG
rnacentral:rRNA from 1 species